GGGGAUUUUGUUUUGUCUUGUCUAUUUUUUUUUGUAUUUCUUUAUUUUUUUCCAUGGAGUUGGUCUUUAGAGAAACCCUGAUUCCACACUGGCCAAGUGAAAUCUGAGUUCUAGUAAUCCAGACUCCAACUGAGUGAUCCAUUUCUGCUGGUUUGGCAACCCAGUUACUGGGUACGUAACAGCACAUACUGGACAUGUGGUGACCAAGCUUUCCCAUGGCUUCCUUGGAGUUGGAAGGGCUGCUGUUAUUUGGGAUAUGCGUAACCUUCAUGUAUCACAUGUAGGAUUUGGGACAUAACCAGCAUCAUAUAAAAAGAAGAUGUGAACUUCCCACUAUUCAAGACAUUUACAAAGACAGGUGUGUAAAAAGGGCCCGAAGGAUCAUUGGGGACCCAAGUCACCCCAACCACGAACUGUUCCAGCUUCUACCAUCCAGGAAACAGUACCGCAGCAUAAAAGCCAGGACCAACAGGCUCCAGGACAGCUUCUUCCACCAGGCCAACAGACUGAUUAAUUCAUGCUGAUAUAAUAGUAUUUCUUUGCUAUAUUGACUGUCCUGUUGUAUAUACAAGUUAUUACAAAUUACUAUAAAUUGCACAUUGCACAUUUAGAUGGAGACAUAAUGUAAAGAUUUUUACUCCUCAUGUAUAUGAAGCAUGUAUGUAAUAAAGUCAAUUCAGUUGUCAGGGGAUGACAAAAAGGAGGGAAUGUGGAAAUGUGUAUUGAACUUUGUAUUUUUUGUAACUAUUUGAUGCAACAAAAUAGAGUAGAAAAUUCCAGAGAUCUAACAGUGCUAAACUAACAUGUUGCAAUAUAUUUACAUGACUGCAAGAAAUGUGCUUGCUAAAGGGAUGCAUAACUGUCACUACCCAAUGUACUGAGCAUCGUGCAGAAAUAAAGAAG